UUUCCCCAUCUGCUUCACUGACCCAGAGUUGCUCUGUUCUAAAAACAGAGCUCGCAUCAAUGGCGUCUUCUUCUUCUUUUUCGCUCGUGUAUACUUUAAUAAAUUCUUCCCCAUUUUGCCCUAAAUCCCUCUCCAAAUAUUUACCCUUCCUCGCUUUCGUUCAUGCCCUGAAGCCUUUCCCCGGUUCAAGCUCGAAAACUCUCCUCCAAAAGGGGCAAUACUGCCUGACCGUCAAGGCCCAAACGCUGGACUUCUCUGGUUCGUUUUAUGAA
rnacentral:misc_RNA from 1 species